ACCGCGUAAAGCGCAAGUAGGCCGUUUGGUAAGUUAAAAGUGAAAUACCUGGGCUUAACCCUGGGGCUGCUUUUAAUACUGCAGGACUAGAGUCCUGGAAGAGGAUAGCGGAAUUCCUAGUGUAGAGGUGAAAUUCGUAGAUAUUAGGAGGAACACCAGUGGCGAAGGCGGUUGUCUGGUCCGGUACUGACGCUGAUGUGCGAAAGCGUGGGGAGCAAACAGGAUUAGAUACCCUGGUAGUCCACGCUGUAAACGAUGAGUGCUAACUUCGU
rnacentral:rRNA from 1 species